rnacentral:rRNA from 1 species
CCUACGGGGCGCAGCAGUCGGGAAUAUUGCGCAAUGGAGGAAACUCUGACGCAGUGACGCCGCGUAUAGGAAGAAGGUUUUCGGAUUGUAAACUAUUGUCGUUAGGGAAGAUAAAAGACUGUACCUAAGGAGGAAGCCCCGGCUAACUACGUGCCAGCAGCCGCGGUAAUACGUAGGGGGCAAGCGUUAUCCGGAAUUACUGGGUGUAAAGGGAGAGUAGGCGGCAAGGUAAGCGAUAUGUGAAAGCCUUAAGCUUAACUUAAGGAUUGCAUAACGAACUAUCUAGCUAGAGUACAGGAGAGGAA